UACGUAGGGUGCGAGCGUUGUCCGGAAUUAUUGGGCGUAAAGGGCUCGUAGGCGGUCUGUUGCGUCGGUAGUGAAAACUCAGGGCUUAACCCUGAGCCUGCUUCCGAUACGGGCAGACUAGAGGUAUUCAGGGGAGAACGGAAUUCCCGGUGUAGCGGUGAAAUGACGCAGAUAUCGGGAGGAACACCAGUGGCGAAGGCGGCUCACUGGCCCGGUACUGACGCUGAGGCACGAAAGCGUGGGGAGCAAACAGGG
rnacentral:rRNA from 1 species